rnacentral:lncRNA from 1 species
GAGAGAGAGAGAGAGAGAGAGAGAGAGAGAGAUCUUAGUGGUCCUGGCUUUGAAACCCAUUCUAAGAAUUUUCUGUCAUGCCAAGAGCCACUGCUGGGUGGCCUAAACUCAAGCCUGCUUUAAGCACAGGGAGAGACAUCUUCCUGAGUUUAGGGAAGUGGUCUCUGAUGGAGGUAGAUACCAGCAGUCUGAAGCUUGCAUAGGAUACCUAGAAGAUGCAGGCCAAGACCUGCCUACUCCCUCUCCAUCAUGACAAUGGUAAGUCCUUGCUUGUUUUGACAUGGAGAUUGGCUUGUAUCCUCUGAGGUUACCACAUGAAUCCUGAGGAACUAGAGGAACCAACCCACGCUGAGUUGAAGCAUGGUGUCUGGAGUAAGGACAGGGAAGAACGGGAAGUUAUUGCUAGCUUCACUAGGUACCCAGGGCUGUGCAUGAGCGGCCACAGAGACAGUUUCCUCUUGCCGGUCAUUUGGCCCACAAGCAUCGAAAGGGAGGCAAUAGCAACGUGGAAAGUUUCCCGGUGGAUUUCAUGCCAAGGGUGUUACUCAGUGCUCACAAAGCUCCAUCUGGCAUUUACUGCUCAACAAAAGGGGAAGAAAAAGGACCUCUGCCACUUUUCAGGUCACAAUGUUGGCAAGGCUUUCAGUAUGUAUCCCUGGCUGACUCAGAACUCAGUAUGUAAAACAGGCUGCCCUUGAACUCACAGAGAUCUGCCUACCUCUGCCUUAAGUCCUGGAAUUAAAGGUGUGCUCCAACACUCUUGACUCUUCUUUGACAGUUUUAGAUUGCAGUGAUUGAACCUAGAACUUCCAUCAUUGUGGGCAAGUGUUCUAUCAGUGAUUCAUACCUCCAACCCCUUAAAAAAAGUUUUACUUUUUUAAGACAAGGUCUUACUAAGUUACACAAGCUGGCCUUGAACUUAAUCUGUAGGCCAAGGGUGGCCUCUAA